rnacentral:rRNA from 1 species
GUCCACGCCCUAAACGAUGUCAACUAGGUGUUGGGUGGGUAAAACCAUUUAGUACCGGAGCUAACGCGUGAAGUUGACCGCCUGGGGAGUACGGCCGCAAGGUUAAAACUCAAAGGAAUUGACGGGGACCCGCACAAGCGGUGGAUGAUGUGGAUUAAUUCGAUGCAACGCUAAAAACCUUACCUACCCUUGACAUGUCCAGAAGCUCUUAGAGAUUUGAGUGUGCCCGAAAGGGAGCUGGAACACAGGUGCUGCAUGGCUGUCGU